GGCCAGACUCCUACGGGAGGCAGCAGUGGGGAAUAUUGCACAAUGGGGGGAACCCUGAUGCAGCGACGCCGCGUGGGUGAAGAAGCGCCUCGGCGCGUAAAGCCCUGUCAGCAGGGAAGAAAAUGACGGUACCUGAAGAAGAAGCCCCGGCUAACUACGUGCCAGCAGCCGCGGUAAUACGUAGGGGGCAAGCGUUAUCCGGAUUUACUGGGUGUAAAGGGGGCGCAGACGGCGAUGCAAGCCAGGAGUGAAAGCCCGGGGCCCAACCCCGGGACUGCUCUUGGAACUGCGUGGCUGGAGUGCAGGAGGGGCAGGCGGAAUUCCUGGUGUAGCGGUGAAAUGCGUAGAUAUCAGGAGGAACACCGGUGGCGAAGGCGGCCUGCUGGACUGCAACUGACGUUGAGGCCCGAAAGCGUGGGGAGCAAACAGGAUUAGAUACCCCCGUAC
rnacentral:rRNA from 1 species